GCGGGUGUAGCUCAAUUGGUAGAGCGUCAGCUUGCCAUGCUGAAGGUCGCCGGUUCGAGCCCGGUCACCCGCUC
rnacentral:tRNA from 1 species